AGUGAACGCUGGCGGUAGGCCUAACACAUGCAAGUCGAACGGCAGCACAGUAAUAGCUUGCUCUUACGGGUGGCGAGUGGCGGACGGGUGGGGAAUACAUCGGAAUCUACUUUUUCGUGGGGGAUAACGUAGGGAAACUUACGCUAAUACCGCAUACGACCUACGGGUGAAAGCAGGGGAUCUUCGGACCUUGCGCGAUUGAAUGAGCCGAUGUCGGAUUAGCUGGUUGGCGGGGUAAAGGCCCACCAAGGCGACGAUCCGUAGCUGGUCUGAGAGGAGGAUCGGCCACAUGGGAGCUGAGACACGGUCCAGACUCCUACGGGAGGCAGCAGUCGGGAAUAUUGGACAAUGGGCGCAAGCCUGAUCCAGCCAUACCGCGUGUGUGAAGAAGGCCUUCGGGUUGUAAAGCCCUUUUGUUGGGAAAGAAAAGCAGCAGGUUAAUACCCAGCUGUUCUGACGGUACCCAAAGAAUAAGCACCGGCUAACUUAGUG
rnacentral:rRNA from 1 species